AUUGAACGCUGGCGGCAGGCCUAACACAUGCAAGUCGAACGGUAACAGGAAGAGGCUUUCCUCUUUGCUGAGGCGUGGCGGACGGGUGAGUAGUGUCCGUGAAACUGUCCGAUGGCGGGGGAUAACUACUGGAAACGGUAGCUAAUACCGCAUAAUGUCCCAAGACCAAAGAGGGGGACCUCCGGGCCCCUUGCCAUCGGAUGUGCCCAGAUGGGAUUAGCUAGUAGGUGGGGUAACGGCUCACCUAGGCGACGAUCCCUAGCUGGUCUGAGAGGAUGACCAGCCACACUGGAACUGAGACACGGUCCAGACUCCUACGGGAGGCAGCAGUGGGGAAUAUUGGACAAUGGGCGCAAGCCUGAUGCAGCCAUGCCGCGUGUGUGAAGAAGGCCUUCGGGUUGUAAAGUACUUUUGGCGGGGAAGAAGAGAAUAAGGUUAAUACCUUGGCGCAUUGACGGUACCCGAAGAAGAAGCACCGGCUAACUCCGUG
rnacentral:rRNA from 1 species